rnacentral:tmRNA from 1 species
GGGGCUGACAGGAAUUGACAGCUUGUGAAAUUGAUAAGUAAGCAUGCCGAGCGCGGUAAGCAUUCUCGUAAAACAAUGCUUUCAAAGCUGUAAAAGGCAACAAUGACUACGCGUUAGCCGCUUAAUCCAAGAUUAAUCAGUUAACUGCUUCCGGGAGACCUGCUCACCCGUUUCCCUUCAGGAAGCAUCGCAUGGUGAGUAAGCUGUGGUGAUUUUCCGGCGCCUCAGCCGAAACCAACGGAAAUAAGCGGAAUGGUGGCGAGUGUUUAGCAGCCAUUUCGACCAAAAUUAAAUAACACUAAGCAUGUAGAAAGUUUAUUGAUUGCUUGUCUGGACGCGGGUUCAAAUCCCGCCAGCUCCACUA